rnacentral:rRNA from 1 species
UACGUAGGGUGCGAGCGUUGUCCGGAAUUAUUGGGCGUAAAGAGCUCGUAGGCGGUGUGUCGCGUCGGUCGUGAAAACUUGGGGCUUAACCCUGAGCUUGCGGUCGAUACGGGCAUCACUGGAGUUCGGCAGGGGAGACUGGAAUUCCUGGUGUAGCGGUGAAAUGCGCAGAUAUCAGGAGGGACACCGGUGGCGAAGGCGGGUCUCUGGGCCGAUACUGACGCUGAGGAGCGAAAGCGUGGGGAGCGAACAGG